rnacentral:rRNA from 1 species
AUUGAACGCUGGCGGCAGGCUUAACACAUGCAAGUCGAGCGGGGGAAGGUAGCUUGCUCCCGGACCUAGCGGCGGACGGGUGAGUAAUGCUUAGGAAUCUGCCUAUUAGUGGGGGACAACAUCUCGAAAGGGAUGCUAAUACCGCAUACGUCCUACGGGAGAAAGCAGGGGAUCUUCGGACCUUGCGCUAAUAGAUGAGCCUAAGUCGGAUUAGCUAGUUGGUGGGGUAAAGGCCUACCAAGGCGACGAUCUGUAGCGGGUCUGAGAGGAUGAUCCGCCACACUGGGACUGAGACACGGCCCAGACUCCUACGGGAGGCAGCAGUGGGGAAUAUUGGACAAUGGGGGGAACCCUGAUCCAGCCAUGCCGCGUGUGUGAAGAAGGCCUUAGGGUUGUAAAGCACUUUAAGCGAGGAGGAGGCUACUUUAGUUAAUACCUAGAGAUAGUGGACGUUACUCGCAGAAUAAGCACCGGCUAACUCUGUG